rnacentral:rRNA from 1 species
UUGGGAAUCUUCGGCAAUGGGGGCAACCCUGACCGAGCAACGCCGCGUGAGUGAAGAAGGUUUUCGGAUCGUAAAGCUCUGUUGUAAGAGAAGAACGUGUGUGAGAGUGGAAAGUUCACACAGUGACGGUAACUUACCAGAAAGGGACGGCUAACUACGUGCCAGCAGCCGCGGUAAUACGUAGGUCCCGAGCGUUGUCCGGCUUGAUUGGGCGUAAAGUGAGCGCAGGCGGUUCAAUAAGUCUGAAGUUAAAGGCAGUGGCUUAACCAUUGUUCGCUUGGGAAACUGUGAAACUUGAGUGCAGAAGGGGAGAGCGGAAUUCCAUGUGUAGCGGUGAAAUGCGUAGAUAUAUGGAGGAACACCGGUGGCGAAAGCGGCUCUCUGGUCUGUAACUGACGCUGAGGCUCGAAAGCGUGGGGAGCAGACAGG